CAGUAGCCGCGGGAAUACAGAGGGUGCGAGCGUUAAUCGGAUUUACUGGGCGUAAAGCGUGCGUAGGCGGCUAAUUGAGUCGGAUGUGAAAUCCCCGAGCUUAACUUGGGAAUUGCAUUCGAUACUGGUUAGCUAGAGUGUGGGAGAGGAUGGUAGAAUUCCAGGUGUAGCGGUGAAAUGCGUAGAGAUCUGGAGGAAUACCGAUGGCGAAGGCAGCCAUCUGGCCUAACACUGACGCUGAGGUACGAAAGCAUGGGGAGCAAACAGGAUUAGAUACCCCUGUAGUCCCUGUCUUUUAUAC
rnacentral:rRNA from 1 species